rnacentral:rRNA from 1 species
AACGAACGCUGGCGGCAUGCCUAACACAUGCAAGUCGAACGAGACCUUCGGGUCUAGUGGCGCACGGGUGCGUAACGCGUGGGAACCUGCCCUUAGGUUCGGAAUAACUCCCCGAAAGGGGUGCUAAUACCGGAUAAUGUCUUCGGACCAAAGAUUUAUCGCCUUUGGAUGGGCCCGCGUUGGAUUAGCUAGUUGGUAGGGUAAAAGCCUACCAAGGCGACGAUCCAUAGCUGGUCUGAGAGGAUGAUCAGCCACACUGGGACUGAGACACGGCCCAGACUCCUACGGGAGGCAGCAGUGGGGAAUAUUGGACAGUGGGCGGAAGGAUGAUCCAGCAAUGCCGCGUGAGUGAUGAAGGCAUUAGAGAUGUAAAGCUCUAUUAACCGGGCUGAUAAUGACGGUACCGGAAGAAUAAGCUCCGGCUAACUCCGUG